rnacentral:rRNA from 1 species
AUUGAACGCUGGCGGCAGGCCUAACACAUGCAAGUCGAACGGUAACAGGAAGCAGCUUGCUGCUUUGCUGACGAGUGGCGGACGGGUGAGUAAUGUCUGGGAAACUGCCCGAUGGAGGGGGAUAACUACUGGAAACGGUAGCUAAUACCGCAUAACGUCGCAAGACCAAAGAGGGGGACCUUAGGGCCUCUUGCCAUCUGAUGUGCCCCGAUGGGAUUAGCUAGUAGGUGGGGUAACGGCUCACCUAGGCGACGAUCCCUAGCUGGUCUGAGAGGAUGACCAGCCACACUGGAACUGAGACACGGUCCAGACUCCUACGGGAGGCAGCAGUGGGGAAUAUUGCACAAUGGGCGCAAGCCUGAUGCAGCCAUGCCGCGUGUAUGAAGAAGGCCUUCGGGUUGUAAAGUACUUUCAGCGGGGAGGAAGGGAGUAAAGUUAAUACCUCUGCUCAUUGACGUUACCCGAAGAAGAAGCACCGGCUAACUCCGUG